UCCAUAUCUCACCGGGACAGUGCAGUGCAGAGUACGCUACUCUCCUCCAUCAACAACAACAACCACCGUCGCGUUUAGGUCAUUCUUCUCUUUCUUUUCACACCCAACAAUGUCAUUCCCUCUUCCCAUAAAACCACUGCUUCCACUUUUCUCCUUUCACCCUCACUUCCCCUUUUCUUCCACCAUCAUAACGAUGUACGGCGCGCGAGCCCACCACCACCACCUUCUAGAAGACUUCCGCAACCCGCAGCUAGGGCUGGGCCAGGGCCCGCGUGGGCCUAUCCUGCUGCACCCUGCGGCUAUCAUCGAGGAGCGCCUUGCGGCCCAUAUCAUCUAGAAGUCAAGAGUUGCGGUGUGCAAGAGCUGCCAUUGACUAUGAGAAGAAGGGAUUUGUGGAAAACUAUGAACAUGGUCAUGUGAUGGAGAAGAAGUUGGUUGCAAUGGCUUGGGAGAUGAAGAAGCUUCGUGCAGAGAUUGCAAAUGCAGAAGAAAGAGCAUGGGCUGUUGCAACGGCUGGGAAUCCAGGUCAAGGGUAUAAUGCAAAUUAUGGCAAUGUUGAUGCUGGAUAUGCUGGAAAUCCUUACCCUUAUAAUAUGCAUUUGGUCUGGAUCAAAACUGAAGAGAAGUGUAUUUUCCACUUUUUGUAUUCUAAUCCUGAGGAUUACCUUGAAUUUUAAGAAGAUGGUGCUGUUAGGAGGUAGGACAACAGAAGGGAAGGGAAAAAUAGUAAGGGAUUAGAAGAAUUAAUUAGAUAAAUAGUGGGAAGAACUGAAGAAGGCAUUCAGAGAAUGAGCAGAUUUGAAAGAAAGGGGAAACCAUUGGAGGAAAAGUUUUUCUCCUUGUUCUCUUCAAUUUCAUUCAAUCAGAAAAAAAAAAAAACGCUUCUUUUCUUUAUGUCCAUUUUGGGAACACUGACUGCCACCUGAUCUAACCUGCAUAUUGCUACAUUUGGUCUCUCAGUUUGGUCAGUAUGAAAAUGUCAAUUGGUUAUUGUGGGUGCAAAAUUGUAUAGUAUAGCUUGCAUAUAGCUUGGUUUGUCUAUUGCCCUAAAUGUAUUUGAUUUUAUAUGGUGGAAAUUAUCGUCUACAGAAUAUAUGGUUAUUUAAUAAUCUUUUAUGACCUUUCAGUCAAUUUGGAUAUUGUUCUUUGCUAAUACUGGUAAAUUUCAGGUACAGCCUGGAUUGGAGAAUUUUCCUCAGGGUGGACCUGGGCCUCCUGCUUGGGGCACAUAUGACAUGCAGCGAGCUCAAGGACACCGGAUUUCUGUUAAGCAAUCUUAUAACUGGUAUCUUGGGUUGCAGCUUGUUCAGGGUUUUAAGAGUUAUUUACUCAUGAAUGUCAUGGGAAUUUGUCUAUUAGAUGGUCCUUGAAGUUGUACUUAAAUUAAAAAGCUCAUAUGUUGGUUGAUGGUGCAACCUAAGAAGUCUUUAUCUCCUAAUUGUUUUGAGGAUUCAGAGGGAGCAAAGGCGUUAAAUUUUUAUGACAAUUUUACUAGGUUUGCUGUUCUUUCGCUGUCUAUUUAAUAUGCGAUGGUCAAAUUUGGAAGGAAAACCAGUGUUAGGUGUGCUUUGGUACAAUUUUGCCUUUUCAGUCUCUAAUACAGGGCUCAUGAUUUUCUUGCUGGAGUCUUUUUGGUAAUUUGGGAGAUUUACAUACUGGAGAGCAUUUUUUUAUUAUGAUUUUAUUAUCUUUCUGUUGAUUGUCGGUUUCCUUAUUUGUUUUGUUGAUGGAGAAUUCUAUCUGUUCCUUUCAUUAAACAUAUCAUAUACUAUAAUAUAAUAAAUUAAACAAUAAUAGGACUAAAAAUAUAAUAAAAUACUCAAUAAUAGUAGUAAAAAUGUAACAAACUAUUUAAAGCAUAACAUAUAUAAUAAAUUAAAGAGUAAAUUACACAAAUCUUCCUUGAGGUUUUGUAAAAUUACACAAACCUCUUGAUGUAGCGUACAUGAUGGGAAAAGAACGAGGGUUUCAACAACUCAUUGAUUUGUAAGAAUGUUGAGGGUUGAGAAUUGAGAAAAACCUCAAAUUUUCAUUCAAUAAUAAUCUUCUUUAAGUGAUUUCUUCAUUUUGAACUCUAUGGAUCUCUUGGGACAUUGGAUUUUGAUACUAGAGCCCUGACAUCCUCUUUCACACCUUGAUACCUUUUUAGCCCAUGGUUGCGCCACACUUCUACAUCACCUCCCCUGCUUUUUUAACAUUUUCACUAACCUCCUUUUAGGGGAGCCUGGUGUAAUGUUUUUCAAAAAAUUAAGGGACUGUCAGUGUAUAUUUUUAAAUAAUUAAGGGGAGGGGGGGUUAAUGUAAUGUAUAAGGGUGUUAGUGUAUAUUUUUAAAUAACUGAGGGGGUUAGUGUAGGAGAAGAUAAAGGCAGGGGGGUGUUUGUGUAAUUUUAAGAAACUUUAAGGGGUGUUAGUGUAAUUUACUAGUGGCUAUCUCACCAUGUGCUAUACCACUAUGGCAGUUUUUGGGUCGGUCGCUAUGCAUUGCUAUCCGGGAUUUAAAACAUUGCUUCCAGGUACUAUCCUUUUGACGUUUUUUUCCCUUUUGUUUCUGAUCAUGGCUUCCUCUAGUACUACACCAUGGCCUAUUGAUAACCCCUGGGUAACUCUCACAACUGAUGGAGAUUUCCUCUAACGUACGAGCAUUGCACGACAUUCGGUUCUACUGCUUCAGUGUUUGUCGUGCAAUUCUUUUCUUAUAGAUCACAUCUGGCUUCUAAUUCCACUGAUGAUCAUUUUAGCUCUACCAAACAUUGCAAUUACAUAAGCUGCACAAUUUUUUCUAAAUCUCUCAACCUUAAGCUACAUUUGUAGAAUUUGGUAAACCUUGCAUGUGUUCUAAAAACUUAGAGCAAUUUCUAGUGAUAAGGAUUUUGGAGGGUUUCACCGGCCUAACAAACCAUAUUAUGGAAGAAGAUUGUUUCCUUGGCCUAAUGGUUAUUGCCAAGACAUGGUUUAUUCCCAUAUGGAUUCCAUUGCAGGUUUUGCACAGAAUUGGAGAGCUCUCUUCAUAUUUUCUUAGGUCUGUUUUAUUUCUGUUGAUUAUCAGUUGUUUUUCCUAAGGAGUAUUUAUUUCCCUUUUUAUAUGUAUUCCUUUUUCUAUUAUAACAAUUUUUCUUUUAUAAAAAAAGAGAAGAAAAUCACCUUGAGCACAAUUCUUCCUUCAUUGUUGCCAUAUUUUAUUUUUUUCCUUGGUUCUGCAGAGUAGAGACCUGUAGAUUCCUUGGUUUCUUGUGUUUAGCAAGGAAGUUAAAUGUCAUUUUCUCCUGUACCAUUCUCUGAUUCACUUUUCUGAAGUAUUAAAAUAGAGGAUCCACAGCUCAUGUUUUGAGCUUGCUGCAGCUGUCAUUUUAGUUUUAUCGGGUCACCCUUUUCUCCAAUAAAAUUUAUUUUUCUAGUUAAAAGGAUGUGUUUCUCCCUCCUUUUUUUUUUGUUAUGUGUUAGUUUACGCCUACAUAUUAUCGUGCACAGACUGCAGUUCUGGAAUGAUUUAGGUUUUUAUAAUAGAUAUACUAGCAGCUAACAAGACCGAGGCAAGACAAUAAUGGAAUGUUUCCAUUUAGUCAAGCAUUAGUUGUGAAGUACAAUUCAUAUUUUAUCCUUCACAAGUUUGGUGAAUGAGGUUGCAUAUUGCAUUCAAGGAGUGAUUUUCUCUCUUGGGAAUUUUUCUAUUCCUUUUCUGAAGCAGCUAAGUUUGAUCUAUUUUACUGGCAUCAUAUAUUCAACACUGGAGCAGAAGGAUGAGAGUCUUAGUCGAGGUUAUGAAUUUUGGGCUCAAGUGCCUCGGACUCUGAUUCCAUUGUUCACAUCUACAGUUUGAACUGGGAUCAAGAUCAAAUCAUCAAAGGAUUGUAUCAAGGUUUACGUAGUUGGCUCUUCUGAAGUGAGGUGUACUUUAGAGGAUAAAGUGCAAUUACAAUCAUUGAUUAAAAAAUCGAUGGUUGAAAAUUGUGAUAAAAUCAAAUACAUAUUUGACAAAACCUAAAAUUAAUUAUAAUAUCAAUUGUUGAUUUUCUAAUUAAUGUCUUUAUUACACUUUAUUUUCUAAAGUGCUUGAUCCACACUUUAGAGGAGCCAAAUCCAAGUUCAACUCAAGCUGUUGGAAGGGCAAGGGCGUACAAGCUUACCAAAAAGGGAUGCUACGUGUGGCUCGGUUUUCAACCAUUUUUGGCAUCACAGUGGGGCAUGGCUUCACAUCUAAGGUUUAGGGAUGAUGGAUGGCUGUUUGGUUUGUUGUUCUCUUGUCCAUAUGGUUGCAUUAGAACGUUGUGGUGUUUAAAGGGGAAAGGUUGUGUAUACAGGAGGUGAUGGAUGCAACGGUUUUUAAGUCUUGAGUUGGUUCAAGGUCAAGUUUGACAAAACGUCGUUCUCUUUUUUUGAUUGGAUCUCUAAUCCUAUGAUCUGUCUUAAAUCUGGUUUUUAAGCUUAGUCCAGCUUCCUCUCGUAGGUGGUGCUUUUGGGUUAGGGUGUUGGUGGUUGUUGUUUGAAGAUGUUGGCUUGGCUUAGGACAAGUGUUUUACCUCGGUGGGAAUUAGAAGAGAUUUUUUUGGAUUAUUUAGGCUUGUUGGAAGGUUUUUUUGUUCAUGGUCUACAGACCUGGAGGGGGUACUGGGUGGUCUUCUUUUGUGCUAACCAUUCUUGUACCUCUUGUGGUUUGUCUAUCAUAUCUAGUGAUGGAGAGUCCAUGUUUUUUCGUUAAUCUAUUCAUUUCCUUUUAGAAAAACAAUCUUAAAUACAAACUUUCAACAAUUCCAUUAGCUGGAAUUUGUUGGGAUUCUUUCAAAAGGAAGUAAGACACAUAAUAUUCUACAA